rnacentral:piRNA from 1 species
AACACCUGAAGAGAAUGAAUCCC